CUGGGAGAGCCAUGUGACGAGGCCAGCUGGGGCCCCUGUGCUGAAGAGACUUACCAAGAACAGAAGAAAGAGAGACUGAGACUACAGCACUAACACUUCCCAGUCUGGGGCAUGAACCUAGGUUGCAGGGAUCGCAAAGCAGGUACCCUCCCAAGAAAAACAUGGGAGUACUGAAAUCAGAAAUUUAGCAGGAGGAAUAAGAAGGUGUUCAACUCAGUUACCACAGACAUUCUUCAACCACCAAGUCCUCCAAGAGGCCUGACUUGAAACAGUAUACCCACCACCUCUGACCACAGGGACUAUACCCCUCUCCAGCCUCUUUUACUCACUCUGGAGACAGUGGGUAUAGAUGAGUGUUCAUGUAUGCACACACAUGCAUGUGGGUGUGCACACAUUUAUAUGUUAGUGUGGAUACACAGCAUGGACCGACAUGCUGUGGGUCCAUGACCACCCUUCCAGACUAGGACAAGAAACAAGUGUAUUCUUAUAUGUCCACCCCCCCCAAUGAAACUCAUACCCUCAACACCAUUUAAUACUAGUGGUGAGGAUUUUUAUUUAUUUAUUUGUAGCAAUGGCAUGACCUAGCAAAUUUUGCUUUGACAU